ACUCAAAGGAAUUGACGGGGGUCCGCACAAGCGGUGGAACAUGUGGUUUAAUUCGACACUACGCGAGGAACCUUACCUAGGUUUGACAUGCUUAUGACCGCUAUAGAGAUAUAGCUUUCCAAGGGAAACCUUGGACAUUUGCACAGGUGCUGCAUGGCUGUCGUCAGCUCGUGUCGUGAGAUGUUGGGUUAAGUCCUAUAACGAGCGCAACCCUUGCUGUCAGUUGCUAUUUCGUAAGAAAGCACUCUGAUGGGACUGCCUGGGAAACCAGGAGGAAGGUGGGGAUGAUGUCAAGUCCGCAUGGUCCUUAUGUCUAGGGCAACACACGUGUUACAAUGGCCAUUACAAAGGGCUGCAAACUCGCAAGAGGAAGCUAAUCCCAUAAAGAUGGUCUAAGUUCGGAUUGAGGUCUGCAAUUCGACCUCAUGAAGCUGAAAUCGCUAGUAAUCGCAUAUCAGAACGAUGCGGUGAAUACGUUCUCGGACCUUGUACACACCGCCCGU
rnacentral:rRNA from 1 species